GCGCGCAUAGCUCAGUGGCAGAGCGUCUGCUUGACGUGCAGAAGGUUGGAGGUCCGAUUCCUCCUGCGCGCA
rnacentral:tRNA from 1 species